GUCCCUGUCGUUCAAUGGAUAGGACGCGGGUUUGCGGAACCCGUAAUGAGGGUUCGAUUCCUUCCAGGGGCA
rnacentral:tRNA from 1 species